rnacentral:rRNA from 1 species
AUCUAAGGCCAUACCACUCUGAACACACCUGAUCUUGUCUGAUCUUGGAAACUAAGCAGGGUCAGGCCCAGCUAGUACUCGGAUGGAAGAAAAGAAAGUUCUUAUUGAUU